CAGUAGCCGCGGGAAUACAGAGGGUGCGAGCGUUAAUCGGAUUUACUGGGCGUAAAGCGUGCGUAGGCGGCUUCUUAAGUCGGAUGUGAAAUCCCUGAGCUUAACUUAGGAAUUGCAUUCGAUACUGGUUAGCUAGAGUGUGGGAGAGGAUGGUAGAAUUCCAGGUGUAGCGGUGAAAUGCGUAGAGAUCUGGAGGAAUACCGAUGGCGAAGGCAGCCAUCUGGCCUAACACUGACGCUGAGGUACGAAAGCAUGGGGAGCAAACAGGAUUAGAUACCCGAGUAGUCCCUGUCUCUUAUAC
rnacentral:rRNA from 1 species